GUUUUUGCUCUACCCGUAUUGCACGCACAGCAUCUGCCAUGAAGGUUAUCGCAGUCGCCCUCAUCUUUGCUCUCAUCGCAAGCAGGCUGCUUGUGACCGCUCAGGAAAACGGCGGUGAUGAGCUUCUGGUACGAACACGCCGCGCAUACGGGUGUCCAUUCAGUCCUGCUGCCUGUCGCUACUACUGCAAAAGCAGUGGCCGUUUAGGAGGCUACUGCUCCGGCCCUUACAAGAAGAUUUGCAUCUGCUACCCAUAGUAGUGCCGUUGCCAUGCGACACGCUUUGAGCAAGAUGGAGAUUUCCUACAGUUAACUCCUC